CGUCAGGUAGCUCAUUGGUUUAGAGCAGUCGCCCGGCAAGCGAAAGACCGGGGUUUGAUUCCCGGUCUAGCGA
rfam:Harpegnathos saltator strain R22 G/1 HarSal_1.0_2.contig6503, whole genome shotgun sequence.